rnacentral:tRNA from 2 species
GGGCUCGUGGUUUAGUGGUAUAAUACUCCCUUAGCAGCGAUGAUUGGGAGUGGUCCGGGGUUCGAUUCCCCGCGAGUCCA